rnacentral:tRNA from 1 species
GGGCUGCAGCUCAGUGGCAGAGCGCUUGCCUGGCAUGUGUGAGGCACUGUGUUCGAUCCUCAGCAUCACA